rnacentral:rRNA from 1 species
CUGGGGCGGUCUCCUCCUAAAGAGUAACGGAGGAGCACGAAGGUUGGCUAAUCCUGGUCGGACAUCAGGAGGUUAGUGCAAUGGCAUAAGCCAGCUUGACUGCGAGCGUGACGGCGCGAGCAGGUGCGAAAGCAGGUCAUAGUGAUCCGGUGGUUCUGAAUGGAAGGGCCAUCGCUCAACGGAUAAAAGGUACUCCGGGGAUAACAGGCUGAUACCGCCCAAGAGUUCAUAUCGACGGCGGUGUUUGGCACCUCGAUGUCGGCUCAUCACAUCCUGGGGCUGAAGUAGGUCCCAAGGGUAUGGCUGUUCGCCAUUUAAAGUGGUACGCGAGCUGGGUUUAGAACGUCGUGAGACAGUUCGGUCCCUAUCUGCCGUGGGCGCUGGAGAACUGAGGGGGGCUGCUCCUAGUACGAGAGGACCGGAGUGGACGCAUCACUGGUGUUCGGGUUGUCAUGCCAAUGGCACUGCCCGGUAGCUAAAUGCGGAAGAGAUAAGUGCUGAAAGCAUCUAAGCACGAAACUUGCCCCGAGAUGAGUUCUCCCUGACUCCUUGAGAGUCCUGAAGGAACGUUGAAGACGACGACGUUGAUAGGCCGGGUGUGUAAGCGCAGCGAUGCGUUGAGCUAACCGGUACUAAUGAACCGUGAGG